rnacentral:rRNA from 1 species
AAGCACAUAAACCUGCUGAAUUUAAGCAUAUAAGUAAGUGGUGGAAAUUAAACCAAAUGGGAUUUCUUUAGUAAUUGCGAAUGAACAAGGAUAUGCUUAGCUUGACAAAUGGAGCUUUUGGCUUUGAGUUGUAUUGUGGAAAUGUACCACCAACAGAGGUGCAAGUGUCAGCCAUUUGAAAGAAAGCGUCAAUGAGGGUGAGAAUCCUGUUUGUCAUGUGCAGCCCUCUGUGCACGGUGUAUAUUUGCUGAGUCACACUCCUUGGCAUUGGAAUGCAAAGUGGGUGGUAAGUUUCAUACAAAGGUAAAUAUGCAAUUGAGACUGAUAGCACACAAGUACCAUGAGGGAAAUAUGAAAAGGACUUUGAAAAGAGAAUUAAAUGAGUUUGUAUUUGCUGAACACAAAGCAAACAGACUUGAUUUGCUUGGUGAGAUUGUAGUGCUUGCUUGACAAUAGGUUUUGGCUGUGGGUGAAAUGAUUCUUUCUUUGCAUG